GGCCCACCAGAAUGCUGCAAUUGCUGCAUGCAGAACUUAUAAAAAGAGAUGGAUCUAAGUGGUACAAGGGAUGGACCAUAGCAGAUGCUGUGAUAUGCCAUCUGGAUCCUGCCUCAAGACUGAAGGACUUAUUCCCCCAAGUUCCUGGGAGUUCUGCUGGUCAACGGCCUUCAGCAAUCAGCACUUUUUUUGAAUAUCUCUGGAGUGAUAAUUAAGAAACAGAUAAUAGUGGUUGCCUCUGGGAAGGAUGGCUGGGAAAUGAGGAUGGAGGAAGAGGAGAUUUGACACAGGUGUGGAGGUAAGACCAUGAGAGGAUAUAGCAAGAAGGUGCAAGCCAAGAAGGGAGGCCUCAGGAGAAACCAAUCCUGCCACCAUCCUGGCCUCCGACUUCCAGGCUUCAGAAUUGUAAGAAAAUAAAUUUCUGUUGUUUAA